CUUCCAGAGCAGUGUCAGUGAUCAGCUGUCCAGACUCCAUGAGAACUUCACCAGCCUGAACAGCCUGAACACCCAGAUCCUGACUUUCCUCCAGUCUGAGAGGCAGCGACUGGGCUCCUUCUGUGAGGAGAACCUGCGCAGGUUGAGGUCUUUGGAGUCCGGAGAGGCGCUGACGGAGCGCGGGGCCAGCCAAUGAACCAGGACCUGGUCUGCUCUGGACCUGGACCAG